rnacentral:rRNA from 1 species
GAUGAACGCUGGCGGCGUGCCUAAUACAUGCAAGUCGAGCGAACGGACGAGAAGCUUGCUUCUCUGAUGUUAGCGGCGGACGGGUGAGUAACACGUGGAUAACCUACCUAUAAGACUGGGAUAACUUCGGGAAACCGGAGCUAAUACCGGAUAAUAUUUUGAACCGCAUGGUUCAAAAGUGAAAGACGGUCUUGCUGUCACUUAUAGAUGGAUCCGCGCUGCAUUAGCUAGUUGGUAAGGUAACGGCUUACCAAGGCAACGAUACAUAGCCGACCUGAGAGGGUGAUCGGCCACACUGGAACUGAGACACGGUCCAGACUCCUACGGGAGGCAGCAGUAGGGAAUCUUCCGCAAUGGGCGAAAGCCUGACGGAGCAACGCCGCGUGAGUGAUGAAGGUCUUCGGAUCGUAAAACUCUGUUAUUAGGGAAGAACAUAUGUGUAAGUAACUGUGCACAUCUUGACGGUACCUAAUCAGAAAGCCACGGCUAACUACGUGCCAGCAGCCGCGGUAAUACGUAGGUGGCAAGCGUUAUCCGGAAUUAUUGGGCGUAAAGCGCGCGUAGGCGGUUUUUUAAGUCUGAUGUGAAAGCCCACGGCUCAACCGUGGAGGGUCAUUGGAAACUGGAAAACUUGAGUGCAGAAGAGGAAAGUGGAAUUCCAUGUGUAGCGGUGAAAUGCGCAGAGAUAUGGAGGAACACCAGUGGCGAAGGCGACUUUCUGGUCUGUAACUGACGCUGAUGUGCGAAAGCGUGGGGAUCAAACAGGAUUAGAUACCCUGGUAGUCCACGCCGUAAACGAUGAGUGCUAAGUGUUAGGGGGUUUCCGCCCCUUAGUGCUGCAGCUAACGCAUUAAGCACUCCGCCUGGGGAGUACGACCGCAAGGUUGAAACUCAAAGGAAUUGACGGGGACCCGCACAAGCGGUGGAGCAUGUGGUUUAAUUCGAAGCAACGCGAAGAACCUUACCAAAUCUUGACAUCCUUUGACAACUCUAGAGAUAGAGCCUUCCCCUUCGGGGGACAAAGUGACAGGUGGUGCAUGGUUGUCGUCAGCUCGUGUCGUGAGAUGUUGGGUUAAGUCCCGCAACGAGCGCAACCCUUAAGCUUAGUUGCCAUCAUUAAGUUGGGCACUCUAAGUUGACUGCCGGUGACAAACCGGAGGAAGGUGGGGAUGACGUCAAAUCAUCAUGCCCCUUAUGAUUUGGGCUACACACGUGCUACAAUGGACAAUACAAAGGGCAGCGAAACCGCGAGGUCAAGCAAAUCCCAUAAAGUUGUUCUCAGUUCGGAUUGUAGUCUGCAACUCGACUACAUGAAGCUGGAAUCGCUAGUAAUCGUAGAUCAGCAUGCUACGGUGAAUACGUUCCCGGGUCU